ACAUGCAAGUCGAGCGGCAGCACGGGAAGCUUGCUUCCUGGUGGCGAGCGGCGGACGGGUGAGUAAUGCAUGGGAAUCUGCCCGAUAGUGGGGGAUAACGUGUGGAAACGCACGCUAAUACCGCAUACGUCCUACGGGAGAAAGGAGGGGAUCUUCGGACCUUUCGCUAUCGGAUGAGCCCAUGUUGGAUUAGCUAGUUGGUGAGGUAAUGGCUCACCAAGGCAACGAUCCAUAGCUGGUCUGAGAGGAUGAUCAGCCACACUGGGACUGAGACACGGCCCAGACUCCUACGGGAGGCAGCAGUGGGACCGCC
rnacentral:rRNA from 1 species